AUGGACUUGGGGUUCCCUGGGGUCUCGCUCAGGCUUAUCCUCUCACUUGGCUCUGGGCUUGGGCCUGGGUCCUUCCUGGCCCCUGCAGGGCCGCUGCUUCCUCCGCCUGCCCGAGUCCUUGGCAGCUCGGCCCCGUGCCCGGGGCAGGGUGCCGGACCCCGAGGAGUCAGAGAAGGACUUGUCCAGGGACGUGUCCAGCGCGGACUCCGGGGCCGUGUCCUCCUCGUCCCCGGGGCGGCUGGAGCCAUGGCCGUGAGCAGCUGGGUCCUCGGGCCCCUCGGCCGUGCUGUCGGCCUCCACCCGGUGGACGACACCCAAGCCUGCAGGGUCCUCCUGCUCCCGCCUGGGACUCUCGGCUCCAGGGGGCUUCUUGCAGGAGAACUCGAGCAGCUUGAGAGCCUGGUCGUCCCCCAGAGUCACUGGCCAGGCCCCCAUGGAGGGCAGGGUGCUCGGGGCGUCCUCGCCGGCCAGGAAGUGGAAAAGACCCAGCCGGACCUCCUGCAGCUGCUGUGGGACCUGGAGCUGCCCUCCCAGGCCGCGGGGCUCAACCUGGAGACCCAGCCGGACCUCCUGCUGGGUCUUUUCCACUUCCUCCAGCACGUGCGGCAGCAGCGUGACGCGGCCCAGCAGGGACGUGGUCUCCGUGAGCUUCGGCAGCGUGCUGAUCUUGAAGCCGUCCGCGUCCCGCAUGUGGCUGCCCUAGUUGAGGAAGUCCCCGAUCUUGAGGAUCAGCCUGCGGAAGACGGGCAGCUGGGGGCUGGCGAGCAGGCUCUCGCAGGCGUGCAGCACCAGCUGGGCCUUGGGCCGCACCAUGUCCAGCACGAAGGCUGUGCCCUCACCCAGCAGCAUGCACACCACCCGCAGCUGGCAGCAGGGGACGUCCAGCAGCAGCAGGUAGAACUGGUCCGCGCCGGCCGGCCUGGCUCAGUCGUCAGCGAAGGCCCGCAGGUUCUCAAUCUCGCGUUUCGCCGGGAGCAGCUUCAGGAGCUGUCUGAGCACUUCCGUGUCAAACCUGCUGGUGUCUCCCGCACGGAGCAUGGCCACCACCUUCUCGUUGGAGCACUUAAACUGCUUCAGGAAGAUGCUGAGGUUCAGGCUCUUCCUGGAGUACAGAAAAGUGACCUCCUUGGGCUCCUUCCUGCCGGGGCGGCUGCUGGCUCCUUGGGCUUGUCCACAGAGAAGGAGAAGAGCCGCUCGAGGCUGCCGAAGUCGGGCUCCAGGGCUCCAGGGCCGCGCUGCCCAGGCCGCUCAGGGCCGCCCACUUGGAGUUGCGCUCUCGGGCCACGCUGGACAGCAGCUUCUUCCAGUUCAGCUUCUUCAUGUGCAGCGUGGGUGAGUUCACGCGCCGGUGGCUGGGGACCCAGGCGGAGCCCAGGCCGUGGUCCACCUGGGACACGAUGA
rnacentral:lncRNA from 1 species